AUAUAAAUGUCUAGGAAAGUUUACUUCAUAUAAAACCGACUAUGAUAGAUAAAAGGGAAUCUAAUUGGAUUGCGGUGUAGAAGACCUAACCAUUAAGUGAGUAGGGAUCCUAAAGUAAUUCAUGUGAUGCCCACCUGCGAGGAGCGGGUUUUUAUCAGAGUAAGCUCUCUAGGCGUUUUUUUA
rnacentral:other from 1 species